rnacentral:lncRNA from 1 species
AAAGGAGUAAAUUGGAGGUAAUUGGCAGAUUUGACGUUCAGUCGAUGUUUUGUGCAGAGCGUGAGUUCUAGAGAUCAAAAUGAAGUGAUUCCAGUGGCACUAAAAAGCUAACAUCCAUACCUUUCUGGAAAUGUAAUGCAAGAAAAAUAAAAAGAGAAAGAUCAUGGAAAUCACAUCCUGCAAAGUCAAAUCUCGCAUUCUGCCAGUGUUGACCUUUGGCCAUUCAAAAUUUAAUAUCUGGAGCUACAGAAGUCCAAUUGAUGCAAACUCAAUUUUAUUGGAUUCCUGACUUAAAGACCUAUCAACGCUCCCAAUUUCAGCCAAAACCGAUGUCAUAUGAGGGAGAUAUGAUUUU